rnacentral:rRNA from 1 species
UACAGAGACUGCAAGCGUUAUUCGGAUUCACUGGGCGUAAAGGGUGCGCAGGCGGCCGGGUGUGUCAGAUGUGAAAUCCCGAGGCUCAACCUCGGAACUGCGUCUGAAACUACUCGGCUAGAGUACUGGAGAGGGUAACGGAAUUCACGGUGUAGCAGUGAAAUGCGUAGAGAUCAUGAGGAAGACCAGUGGCGAAGGCGGGUCUCUGGACAGUUCCUGACACUGAGGCACGAAGGCCAGGGGAGCAAACGGG